ACGGCGACACCCCGAGGGUCGGUGUUGGCGCCGCUCCCUCAGCCGCGCUGAAGCGACCGCGGAGCGAACCGGCGGGAUCCUGAGCCCGGGCACGACCUGCCGUUUUUCUCUGUCGCUCGCCUGUGAUGAGUGCCUAUGAACCCGGGAACUUAUUGCAGCUUCUGACUCGUUGUGUCGGAACUCACGAAAAAUGCCUUUGUGGGAGCUCCCCGUUGCGGGGCCGUGAGGCGGGAAGCGGCUGAUGGCGGGGCGGGCCGGAGCCUUCCCCCCUGACAGGCGGCGGGUCCCCGGCCGCCACACGGGCCCUGCCGGGGGACGGGCAUCUCCUUCCUGUCCCUUCUGGAGACCAAGUGCGACAAUUGAACGGCAGCAGUCAGAUUUUAAAUAGUUAAUGUUUCAAUCCGUGGAAUGCAAUUCAGAAGUCCCACAGGACUCAAUGCAAAGUUGGGGUUUUGCCUCCUGUGGGGACUGAGGAGAGGUAUUACACAAAUCACGUUGCUGAUUUUUCUAAGCCUGCUGUUAGGAGUGGCCACGUACCGUUCACCUUCAGAGAGUGGCUUGUUGAGAACGCCACCGAUGGGCUGACUGCCUUGGGAGUGUUUCAGAUGGAAUACAGACUGCAAAAAUUGAGCCUGAAAAUUGCAUCAGAAAUGGGAAUUUCUCAGGUCACGAUGGUGUAUUUGGCAGCAGAAGUGGUGACUCUGUCAUAAAUAACUCUGAUGUUUCUACACCUCUGUUACACCCUUGCUUUUGCGAGUGCUGGAAUUCAGGAUACCCAGAAGUGAGUGAGCAUUGCUCUGACCAAAAUAGGAAGACCUAUUGCACAUUUUUGUAGCUGCCAGCAUAUGAAGGAGGACUCCCACUAAAG